GCACUACUGAGGAGUCCCACAAUAGGACGAAACGGCCGUUCAGUGU
rnacentral:hammerhead_ribozyme from 1 species